rnacentral:rRNA from 1 species
UACGUAGGGCGCAAGCGUUGUCCGGAAUUAUUGGGCGUAAAGAGCUCGUAGGCGGUCUGUUGCGUCCGCUGUGUAAACUCGGGGCUUAACCCCGAGCCUGCAGUGGAUACUGAUCAGCUGGAGGGAGGUAGGGGCAGUUGGAACUUCCAGUGGAGCGGUGAAAUGCGUUGAUAUUGGAAGGAACGCCGGUGGCGAAAGCGAGCUGCUGGACCUCUUCUGACACUGAGGCGCGAAAGCUAGGGGAGCAAACGGG